rnacentral:rRNA from 1 species
GCAAGUCGAGCGAACGGACGAGAAGCUCGCUUUUCUGAUGUUAGCGGCGGACGGGUGAGUAACACGUGGAUAACCUACCUAUAAGACUGGGAUAACUUCGGGAAACCGGAGCUAAUACCGGAUAAUAUUUUGAACCGCAUGGUUCAAAAGUGAAAGACGGUCUUGCUGUCACUUAUAGAUGGAUCCGCGCUGCAUUAGCUAGUUGGUAAGGUAACGGCUUACCAAGGCAACGAUGCAUAGCCGACCUGAGAGGGUGAUCGGCCACACUGGAACUGAGACACGGUCCAGACUCCUACGGGAGGCAGCAGUAGGGAAUCUUCCGCAACGGGCGAAAGCCUGACGGAGCAACGCCGCGUGAGUGAUGAAGGUCUUCGGAUCGUAAAACUCUGUUAUUAGGGAAGAACAUAUGUGUAAGUAACUGUGCACAUCUUGACGGUACCUAAUCAGAAAGCCACGGCUAACUACGUGCCAGCAGCCGCGGUAAUACGUAGGUGGCAAGCGUUAUCCGGAAUUAUUGGGCGUAAAGCGCGCGUAGGCGGUUUUUUAAGUCUGAUGUGAAAGCCCACGGCUCAACCGUGGAGGGUCAUUGGAAACUGGAAAACUUGAGUGCAGAAGAGGAAAGUGGAAUUCCAUGUGUAGCGGUGAAAUGCGCAGAGAUAUGGAGGAACACCAGUGGCGAAGGCGACUUUCUGGUCUGUAACUGACGCUGAUGUGCGAAAGCG